rnacentral:rRNA from 1 species
GACGAACGCUGGCGGCGUGCUUAACACAUGCAAGUCGAACGGAAAGGCCCUGCUUUUGUGGGGUGCUCGAGUGGCGAACGGGUGAGUAACACGUGAGUAACCUGCCCUUGACUUUGGGAUAACUUCAGGAAACUGGGGCUAAUACAGGAUAGGAGCUCCUGCUGCAUGGUGGGGGUUGGAAAGUUUCGGCGGUUGGGGAUGGACUCGCGGCUUAUCAGCUUGGUGGUGGGGUAGUGGCUUACCAAGGCUUUGACGGGUAGCCGGCCUGAGAGGGUGACCGGCCACAUUGGGACUGAGAUACGGCCCAGACUCCUACGGGAGGCAGCAGUGGGGAAUAUUGCACAAUGGGCGGAAGCCUGAUGCAGCAACGCCGCGUGCGGGAUGACGGCCUUCGGGUUGUAAACCGCUUUCGCCUGUGACGAAGCGUGAGUGACGGUAAUGUGUAAAGAAGCACCGGCUAACUACGUG